rnacentral:rRNA from 1 species
CGGACGGGUGAGUAACGCGUGAGAAUCUGCCCUCAGGAGGGGGAUAACAGUUGGAAACGACUGCUAAUACCCCAUAUGCCGAGAGGUGAAACGAAUUUCGCCUGGGGAUGAGCUCGCGUCUGAUUAGCUUGUUGGUGGGGUAAAGGCCUACCAAGGCUUCGAUCAGUAGCUGGUCUGAGAGGACGAUCAGCCACACUGGGACUGAGACACGGCCCAGACUCCUACGGGAGGCAGCAGUGGGGAAUUUUCCGCAAUGGGCGCAAGCCUGACGGAGCAACGCCGCGUGAGGGAUGAAGGCCUUUGGGCUGUAAACCUCUUUUCUCAAGGAAGAACAUCUGACGGUACUUGAGGAAUAAGCCACGGCUAAUUCCGUGCCAGCAGCCGCGGUAAUACGGGAGUGGCAAGCGUUAUCCGGAAUUAUUGGGCGUAAAGCGUCCGCAGGCGGCCGUUUAAGUCUGUUGUUAAAUCGUGGAGCUCAACUCCAUCACGGCAAUGGAAACUGUUCGGCUUGAGUAUGGUAGGGGCAGAGGGAAUUUCCGGUGUAGCGGUGAAAUGCGUAGAUAUCGGAAGAACACCAGUGGCAAAAGCGCUCUGCUGGGCCAUUACUGACGCUCAUGGACGAAAGCCAGGGGAGCGAAAGGGAUUAGAUACCCCUGUAGUC